rnacentral:rRNA from 1 species
AGGAGAGGAAGGUAGAAUUCCCGGUGUAGCGGUGAAAUGCGUAGAGAUCGGGAGGAAUACCAGUGGCGAAGGCGGCCUUCUGGACUGACACUGACACUGAGGUGCGAAAGCGUGGGUAGCAAACAGGAUUAGAUACCCUGGUAGUCCACGCCGUAAACGAUGUCGACCAGCCGUUGGGUGCCUAGCGCACUUUGUGGCGAAGUUAACGCGAUAAGUCGACCGCCUGGGGAGUACGGCCGCAAGGUUAAAACUCAAAUGAAUUGACGGGGGCCCGCACAAGCGGUGGAGCAUGUGGUUUAAUUCGAUGCAACGCGAAGAACCUUACCUACUCUUGACAUCCUGCGAACUUGUGAGAGAUCACUUGGUGCCUUCGGGAACGCAGAGACAGGUGCUGCAUGGCUGUCGUCAGCUCGUGUUGUGAAAUGUUGGGUUAAGUCCCGUAACGAGCGCAACCCUUGUCCUUAUUUGCCAGCGCGUAAAGGCGGGAACUCUAAGGAGACUGCCGGUGACAAACCGGAGGAAGGUGGGGACGACGUCAAGUCAUCAUGGCCCUUACGAGUAGGGCUACACACGUGCUACAAUGGUCGGUACAAAGGGUUGCCAACUCGCGAGGAGUGGAGCCAAUCCCGAAAAGCCGAUCUCAGUCCGGGAUCGGAGUCUGCAACUCGACUCCGUGAAGUCGGGAAUCCGCUAGUAAUCGUGGAUCAAAAUGCCACGGUGAAUACGUUCCGGCC